AGGGCGGUUGAUCUCACAAUCACUUAUGUGGUGACACUAAUACAAGGAUGUGAGUGCUCAUUAGAGAAUGAGUUCACUGAAUAGACUUGUGAGAAUUCCUAAUGGAGUCUUAUUUAUGUCAGCUGAUAGUUCUCUAAUUGGAGUUGUGUAAGUGAUCCGUAGACCUGAGAUCACCAUGGUAUCUUGUAUAUAUGAAUCCAUAUUUUGAUUCACUUUCUAACUUGAUUUUUUGAUCU
rnacentral:lncRNA from 1 species